rnacentral:rRNA from 1 species
UACAGAGGGUGCAAGCGUUGUUCGGAAUUACUGGGCGUAAAGAGUGUGUAGGUGGUGUCGUAAGUUUGGUGUGAAAUCUCCCGGCUUAACUGGGAGGGUGCGCCGAAGACUGCGAUGCUGGAGUAUGGGAGAGGAAAGCGGAAUUCCUGGUGUAGCGGUGAAAUGCGCAGAUAUCAGGAGGAACACCGGUGGCGAAGGCGGGUCUCUGGGCCGAUACUGACACUGAGGAGCGAAAGCGUGGGGGAGCGAACAGG